AAUAGAUAUUAACCGAGUUCAGUGUUUUGUGUCUUUUUAAACUGUUUUUUUAUCUAAUUUCAAUAAAAAUGCCAAAGCGGCGUAUAAUAUGCCGACAAUUACAGGAAAAGAGCCAAAUAUGUGCUACUUCUUUUCACAAAAUACCAUAAGAUCCUGCGAUACGAGCAGUGUGGCUAGAAAAUUUCGCCAUAUCUGAAUAUGAUUUUUCAAAGGAUAAUUAUGUCUGUCGAAGCAUUUCCGUGCUACAGAUAUUAAGGUAACAGUAACUGGAAAACGAUGUCUCACACAUGGAGCUGUGCCUAUUAAUACAACAUUUGGAAGGUAAUACGUUUUAGCACAGUGUUGAUGAAAUGGUUGUGCCGUCUCAAAGGUUCCCUCUUCGAGAAAUUGCCAGUGAAGGAAAUUUUAUAGAUGUUGCUAUAAAACAUCUUCAAUCACAUGUUGUCCCUGUUCCAUAAGAGACGAGCUGUCAAUGUUAUGAGCUCAAAAUUCAGCUUAUUUUUGUUGCGUACAUUUAAAACAUGCUUAUUUUCCCAUACGAUUAAAUGUUGUUCAAUGUAAAUUCAUUUUUCCGUUACUUUUAGUACAAAUAUGUUUUGUUUUCUUUGCAUUGUUUAUAUUCCAGCAGAUUUUAAUUAAAUAUAUUUUUGCUCCUUU